UUCACCCCAACCUGCAAGAGAAAUCCUUCCAAUUAUUUUCCCACAAUCAAUUGAAAUCAAUCACCAAAAAUAACUACUCAAUACAUUCCUAUAUCACCCCUCUACACUAAUCUCUCCGCCUCACACAAUUCGGCAGUCUCUCCUAAAUUACUUUUGAAUCACAAAAUUUCCUCAAGGCGGCAGAGAAGAGAGAGUUCAUCAUUCUCCCCCUCACUAUCCUAACCCCACCGAGAGAAAAGGCGGAGAGUUGGAUCGACUGCUUCCGAGCCACAACCUCUUUUGUUUACAGCAACUCGUCCCAAAUUGUUGCAGGUUGAGCGGUGACGAGCUUGAGGUGGUGUUGAGUCGAACCUGAAUUAUUGUUGGAUUUUAUUUUGAACUCCGAGGGUCGUCGUGUCUUCAUAUACGACGACACUCUUACUCUUGGAUGCUUUCGCUGAGAUAAUACAAUUUUUCACAACUAUGUUAUGAACUCUUUUUCUCUUGAA